AAAUGUUCGUUUACUUUCCAUUCAGAUUAAGUAGGCUCUAUAAUGUAUUUUAUUAGGGAGAGCGUCAACCUUCCUGUUUAUGGCUUGUAACAAAUUCCAAUGAAUCAAGAGGGAUUUCAGUUCUUAUUUUCUGUGCAUUCUCUACUUGAGGCUUCCCAGGAUCAUCAUACAGGGAGGCGUAAUGAGGACACAAUCUGAGUUAUCACAAUGGCAAUGACAUUAGAAGGUGCAGGAAGUGUUAAGAUACGGCUGCUGUUAAAAUGGUCUCCAAUGCAAAUAACCGUCGCUGCUGUGUGUUUAGCACCUAUUACAGGCCGGGCACCAUGCUCAGUGCUUUACACACCUAUUGCUCAUCCUCAAAAUGACCCUAUGAAGGGACUUAGAAGUGCUAGAUACACAAUAGGUAGACAAGGGAUGUAAUUAGGCGGAUGCCAGAAAUGCAGGGCCACCAAUGUUUUUUUCUAUUAAAAAUAUUAUUAAAGUCAUUCUACUAGAAAUCAGAAUUUUGUGAAUUUCUUUACAUUAUUUAUUAUGAUUUAAAAAAAUUUUGAAUUACACACGGAGGUCAUUGUUACCUUUAUAGUGCACAGGAUCUCUAAAAAAUCUUACUUUUACACCCUCUUCCCUUGCAGAUAUUAUUAGCUCGAUUUUAGAAAUGAGGAAACUAAAACUCAGAGAGGUUAGAUAGCUGCUGAAUCAGUCAGGGGUCAUUGGAGGAGCAAAAAGAAAGAGGAGGUGAUACUCAGAGGAGAAGUUGCAUUAGCCCCUUAACUGGAGCUGAGCUGCUGAAGACACUGUAGAAGUCAGUCCCAAAGCCACUGAAGAGGUGCCGCCUCAACUGGGUCUGGAAUCAGCGUGGGCUGCCAGAUUCUGAAAUAAUCUGAAUGAAAACACUAGCAGUCUCCAGCAACUGCCUCUCUGUUAAAAUCAGAAGCAGGAGGCCACUCUCAUCUUCCUGCCUUCUGAUCUCUCUCCAGUGUCUCCUAUUAGUAGAAUUGACCAGAAAAUCAGCAAGUGAAGGAAGCUGAGAAACAGAGUCUGCAGAUCCCCAGCCCUGCAGAGCAGAGUGGAGAAAGGCGGGUCUGGGUUGGAGAGAUGACAGGCAAAUAUCCAGGACACUCAUACAGCUGGAAAGUGAUUCGUAAUUCGGAGGCCUGAAAACUGGUCCUGACCUGAAACUUGCCUGAAAAUUCGUCGUCUGAUUCCAGCUCUUUAUUAAACUUUGCGUAUGAUCUUUCAAAAGAGAGGAGAAAUGCUCCAUAUUGGUGCCUGCCCACUGCCACUGCUGUCACUGUGCUACAGCUAGGAACACCAGAGGAUUGCUUGGUUGCCAUGGGAGAGAAGAGAAAAAAUGCGAAGAAAAAACCCCAGGAGAUUGUCUUCAAUUGUUCUGGCCCUUUUCCACUCCGCAGAUGCAAUAGGAAGGUCUUCUCUUGAUGCUCUUUCUGUCCACACCUGAUAUGGAAACAGUUUCAACAGGUAAAGCAACUCUGCCUAUGGGAUGGGGAUCAAGGAGAACACUUUACCUGACAGCUGUUUGCCUCCUUACCUCGUCUCUGCACAAUGGAGAGAAUCCUGCUUUGGCCUCAGCGCUGCUGUCCCCCUGCCUCUGCCCAGAUUCGGAGUGGACAUCCUGGGCUGUGAAAUGUCAGAUGAGAAGGAGCUGGACUUGACCUCUUACAUUCGAGUAUGGAGCUUUUGGCUCCUGGCCUCCAGCACUAAAAGAUUAAAUUUGCUAAUUUCCAGGUGUGCUUUUCUCCCCCCAUCAUUAUAGCACUGUGCCAUCACACCAGUGCACUCAGCUUGCAAUCACCGUAAAUGAUGGCCUCGGAGUUCAGUCACUGCCAAGAAGAAGAGUCACAAAGAAACCGCUUCCGGGAGUCAAAUGUGUAUU
rnacentral:lncRNA from 1 species